UGCUUGGCCCCAGCAGCUCCCUUGUAAGUAUGCAUGUUCAGGUACGUUUCAUAUAUAUAUUUAGGAGUCCAGGCCAACUCCCCGGUCUUGCACUCCUCUCUGUCACCGUUGCCUCAUUCCAGGGCCCUAUUUGGCCUUGCUUUGCAAAGAGUCCCAAGAGUAGAUGGUUUAACUCAUAUUAGUCGGACCUGCCCCAAAACAUUUUUUUGCCCAGGUGAGGUGUUUGUAAAUAAAACUAUUGUGUUACAUUCUGUGAGCCUUGUAAUUGCUGUUUAGUGAAUGAGUGAGUGUGCUGGAUCUUGUAUGUUUUAUAUGUAUGUAUGUGCAUGCGUGCGUGUGUGUAUAUAUAUAUAUAUAUAUACACACACACACACACACUAUAUAUAUAUAUAUAUAUAUAUAUAUAUAUAUAUUUAUUAAAAAAAUCUUUUCUUCUAUUUAUUAAAAAAAUAACAAAAUGUGGACCUUAUACUAGGCAGCAUGAAGGUUUGUAAUUCUUAAAAUGCAGAUUUAUUUAAUGAAAAAUAAUAAAGCACAUGUGCAAGUGCUGGAGAACCACUGUUUUUGUCAAACAGCUCAAAAAACAGUGUGACAUAAAUUUGGGGUAUAUUGAUAGCAGAAUUUCCAUUUUUAAUAUGUUUAUUCAUUGACUACAAAAAUAUAGGAUGUAUAGGGGAAAAAAGAAAGUAUAGAAAUAACACAGUAUCCCAUGCAGAAAACUUAUCGUAAAAGCACAAAUACUAUUUUCUGUAGUAUGACCUGCACAUCUGCUGGCCUUUUUGGGAGUGCACAUUCUAAAAAUGGCAUCAGAAUACAACAUUAUGACUACAGGUGACCAUGUGCCUUACUGAGUGCCAAUGACCUUCUGUACAUAAACUACUCUCUAGAUAGAUACUGUUGAGGAGUAGGAGCAGAAAGGACAAUUAUGUAACUUACACCCUCAUAAAAGGACCUGUGUUGUAGAGGAGGUGAGUGUUAAAAUGGAUCUACUGUAAUAUUUUUUGGUUUAUGUUGCUAUGUAGUGCAUUGUGAUAUAGAUUGCAUGCAUACUAUAAAGAUAUUGUUGGUAAUAAAGGAUUUAAUCAAAGCACAAAAGAGUUCUGAUAUUUUGAAACACGUGUGGUAAAGGAAGGAUGUGGCCUAUUAAUGCAAGCAAAAAUACUGAGUCUUGAUACUAUCAUACUAGAUUGGACUGCACGAGAACUGAAACUUCGACUAUUGGAUUUUUUUUGAUGAGAUAAAGUAGAAAUUAUUUUUAAUGUAAUAUCCCAGAAAGCUGUUACAUUACAUAUAUACACUGGUGAUAAAAGAAGAUGCUUUGCUGUUUAUAUCUGUGUAUAAAAAUAAUUUAUUAUAUGAUCCCUUUAUUAGGUUCACCUUUCUAAUACAGGGUUAAACCCCAUCUGACCCAAGAACAGAUUUAACAAAGUGCUGGAAACACAUCUUUGAAAUUCUGGUCCAUGGUGGCAUGAUAGCAUUGUGUAGUUGCUGCAUAUUUGAUAGCUGUACAUUCAUGUUGCGUGUCUUCUGUUUCACCACAUUCCAGUAUCCUGGGUGUCACUGAAGUACAUUAAAUUAUAAUUUUUGUGAAACUAACUUGAGAUGAUGUGUGCUUUGUGACAUGGUAUAUUAACUUGCUGGAAGUAGUCAUUAUAAGGUGGGUAGACUGUGGUUACAAUGGGAUGCACUUGGUCAACAACAAUACUCUGGUAGGCUGUGGCAAUUAAAGAUAUGUUAGACCAGGCAAAGUUUUUUUCAAUCUUCUACUAUCCAUGUUGGUGUGCCUUUGACAACUGCAGCCUCAGUUUCAGAAUGACUGGUGUGGUCUUCUGAUGGUCUUUUAAAUCCUAGCCAGGGCUAAACCUUAAAAGCCAGGAGAAUCCAUAACACACAAACUGAGACAAAUUUCUACCUGCCAAUGGCAGUGGCAAGUGGAAAUUUUGAAUCCUGCCAUCAGGAUAUCAUUAUGUUGGAUGGCACGCAGUACAGUUCAUCCAAAAGUAAUUCAGUGGGAUUGAGGUCAUGGCUCUGUGCAUGCCCACCAAAUUCAUCAAACCACAUCUUCAUGGACCAUACUUUGUGCACAGGAGCACUGGCAGGGUGGAACAGGUGAAGGUCUUCCUCAAACUGCUGACACAAACUUGGAAGCACCCAGGUGUCUAAAAUGUUUAUGUAACCUGUAGCAUUUAGAUAACCCUUCACUAAAAUGGAGGGGCCUAGUCCAAACUCUGAAAAACAUCUCCAGACCAUUAUCCUACCUCCACCCAACUUGACAGCAAGCAUUACAUAUUCUGGUAGGUAGAGAACACCUAGUAUCCCUCCUGAACAAAUUCUUCCAACUGAGUUCCAGAUAGUGAAAUGGCACUCAUCACUGCAGAGACCACAUUUAUACUGCAAUGGAAACUAAUUUCAUGAAGCUCCCCACUCAGCGUUCUUGAGCUGACAAACUUUGCAGUUUGUAACUCUUUAGUGAGUGAUGCAACAGACGACGGGUGAUUUUUAC
rnacentral:lncRNA from 1 species